ensembl:lncRNA
AGGGCCCCCAAGAGCCACCAGUGCCUCUUCCCUCCUGAGUGCAAGUCAUUGUAUUUAUUGCCAUGUUACACCGCUUUCAGCUCCUGCAGGGGGGUGAAGGCUGCAGAAAAGGGACCUGAAUUUGCAUUCACUAAAAAUUAAUGGAAACACAAGUGAAAGAGCUUCUUUCUGGAAAAAGUAGAAACCACCUCAAGCCAGGCUUAAGAAAUGACCUCGUCUCCAUUCCCUCCGCCCCCGGCCCAUUUCAAGCCCACUGUCGCUCAGUCACUGAGACUGUCAACAAAACCCUUCUUACUAAACUGCAGUCCUGCCCCAGCUUUCGUCUGGCUCCAUUCUGUCCUUCACAGCAUUUUCAGCACUCUGGUCUUGGAAAUAAAGUGUCGCCAUGCUUGCACGGUCCAGGCUGAGUGUCUGGCUAUAAACUCAACUCCCUCACAUCCCUCUUUUCCUGUCCCAUUCCCAUUUUUCCCUGAGAACUCCAGCUACCCUGAACUUCCUGCUUCGCCCCUUGAAUGAAUGAGGCUCAUUCACAAUUCAAAGUCACUGGGAUACCAACUGUUGGCCUGAAGUGUGCCUUUUUAUGGCUAGGAUGCAGCCUCUACACAAUACCUCUCCUGUGAAGUCAUUUCAGAAUCCCUCAGUCCCCGGCUUGACCCAGCACACCUCUGUUCUUAGCUGCAUCAGACUGCACUGUAAUUUUCCAUUCACGUGUCCCCUCCACUCAACUCGGGACUCCUCCAAAAUUUUCCUGGGAUUACCCUCCCAAAAAGCUCUUCACAACUGAAGUCUUUCUUUGGGGCCUCCUUCUGGGAAAAUUCAAAUGAAGACACUGGAGAAGAGAUAAGAAAGACGGCUGCCAUAUUGUGAAGCAGCCUUGGGGAGAGGUCCAAGUGGUGAAGAAUGGAGGCUUGCAAGAAACCCCAUCAAUGCACUUGGAAGCAGAUCUUCUGAGACCUGCCAGCCACCAAGUGAGUGAGCUUGCAAGCAGCUCCUUCCCCAUUCAGGCCUUGAGACAUCUGCAUCCCCAGCCAACACUUUGACCGCCACAUCCCAAAAGAUGCUGAGCUCACCAGGCUAAGCAGCACCUAGAUACCUUACUUGCUAGAGAAUACUGCUCAGCUACAAAAGGAAUAAACUAUUGAUACAUGCAAUAACACGGAUGAAAUCUCAAAAGCAUUAUGCUAAGUGAGAGCUGUCAGACACUGGAGAAUACAGAAGAACCGAGGGCACUAGAAGAAAGCAGCCAGUGGGUUACGUGACCAACAGGGACGCUCUCAGCAGCCGUGGAAGCAGAG